rnacentral:lncRNA from 1 species
UCCAGAUGAAAAUCAUAAAGCGGACUUGCGGCGGAAGGUAGCGGAUCGGAUAGCAGAGUAGGCGUAGUCGGAGGAGCGGUGAGGCUUAAUGGAGAGACUCUCCGGCGAGGCAGGGAGGAGGUCGAAUGAAAGACGGCUAAAACUGGUGCUGCAAAUGCUUUCACUGCUCAUUGAGCUUCUCUGUGUUGAUGAAUUCACUGUUUCUAAACUCAACUCAGAAUCACGUGCACCACUGUCUAACAUUGUAAACCAGAGAAAAUAUUAUAAAAAAAAAAAAAAAGAACAGAGUGCCCUUAACUAGUGGUUUGAACUUUG